rnacentral:rRNA from 1 species
UACGUAGGUGGCAAGCGUUGUCCGGAAUUAUUGGGCGUAAAGCGCGCGCAGGUGGUUCUUUAAGUCUGAUGUGAAAGCCCACGGCUCAACCGUGGAGGGUCAUUGGAAACUGGGGGACUUGAGUGCAGAAGAGGAAAGCGGAAUUCCACGUGUAGCGGUGAAAUGCGUAGAGAUGUGGAGGAACACCAGUGGCGAAGGCGGCUUUCUGGUCUGUAACUGACGCUGAGGCGCGAAAGCGUGGGGAGCAAACAGG